rnacentral:misc_RNA from 1 species
AAGUCGUAACAAGGUUUCCGUAGGUGAACCUGCGGAAGGAUCAUUAGUGAAUUUUAGGGCGUCUACUUGUAGAGCCUGACCUCCACUCUCUAACACUGUGCAUUUAUUGGCGAAAUUUUUAGGGAUAAGGAAUUUUCGGAUUUCGGAUCACUAAAUUUUUUGCGGCUCAUUUUAUAACACUAGUCAAAGUAUGUAUUGAAAUAUCGAAACAAAAAAAAACUUUCAACAACGGAUCUCUUGGCUCUC